CUCUACGACCCAUUCAACUAAUUUUAAAAUUUCCCAACUUAGUCUAAAAAAAAAAACCAAACCCAUAUGACUCAAAUACUAAUCCCUAACCAUGUGUGUGGCUCACUUUCCCCAAAUCUCUUAACUUUGUUUUCCCUUCUUGUGUUGAGACUAGAAGCUGAAACCCAUUUGCUGGCUCACUCAUCAUUUUCCCAAAAUUUUUUGUUUCUCUACCUUUGCUGUAAAUCUCCCUUUCUUGUGCUAUUUUGAAGGAUCUUUGUUUUACUUCUUGCCAAUAUUUGCACUUCCUCUGUAUAGAUGCUCAACAAAGUCAUCAAAUAGAAGGUGAUGGUCCACAAGCCCCAAGAUCAACUUUGCCAAUUGGUGCAGAUCCUAUUGCUAACAGUUUAAGAGUAACGCCUGUGAAUAUUGACAAGGAUUUACUGCAUAUUGUUCUUGCCAUUUCAUAUGCGAAAGAGCCUGACCAAAUUUUGUCAAGGGCGAGUUGAUUUUCCAAGGAAAAUGGUUUGGAAGUUGAAUCAAGGUCUUGCUCAUGCUGCUCUCGAUAAGAGUGGAUAUAAUUACCUAUAUAAUGGGAAGAAUUUGGUUGCCCAGAAUAAGAAUGGCACACAACUGGGUUAUACAUGUAGGAGCUUUACACAUUCAAAAACCACCAACAACGACUAAAAGAGAAAUAAUAAAGUUCCUCAAAAUCCACACAUCUUUUUUUUCCUGUUGAAACAGCUGCUUCUUAGUUUGAGCUGUAUGCAAUCAUUGGUGCUUUGAAUCUCAACUUCAAAGAAAAAGCUAGGUUAGUUCAGUUCAAGGAUUCGAUUUAGAUUCCCCUUUUUAUUAUUGAAACUCAAUCAUUUUACUAUUUGGUUUCUAUUUAAAUUUGAGUUUUGGCUUUUUAUUAUCUUGUAUCUUCUUGGCUUGUUUUUAAUUUUGUGUUGCAAAAUUAUAUGGAAUAGUUAUUAAUAUGUUAUGAAAUUGGAAUGAUACUUAACACUAGGUAUUUAUGUGAAAUCAUUUUUAAUAUCUUGACAUGUUAUUAUUUGUUUUAAUGUAUCCUUAAAAUGUUUAACUUAGUUUUUCAUAAUGGAAUGUAGUUGUUAACAAUUUUUAUUAUAAACAAGAAUGGAAAUUACUCUUGACUGUUAUAUUAUAUGACAUUUAGGAUUAUAAAAUGACAGGUGAUCGAUCUUGGAUGUACCAUCGCUUAAUUUCUAAUAGAUUCAUUAGAGAUGAAUUUAUAAAUGGAGAAUAAGAUUAUAUGCCCUUGCUCUCGAUGUAGUAACAACAAGUUUCUAAAUUUCGAUAAGGUGGCAGAGUACAUCUUUAAAAAGAGUUUUACUAGUGCUUACAGAUUAUGGAGUUUACAUGGGGAACAUGAUUUUGGACAAUCAUCAAGAAGUAGAGGUAGAGUUGAGCCAUAUGCUAAAAAUGGGGAACAUGGGGAAUAUGGGGAACAUACAUAUGAAGAGGAAAUAGAAAAUUCAUAUACUAGAAUGGUUAGGGAUGCUAUGGGUCCAAAAGUUACUUUCAAUUAUAGUCAUGAUAAUGAGUCAAGGUUUUUGGAUGAAGAUCCAAAUUAAAAUGCAACUAGCUUGUACUUUUUGUUAAGUAAUACAAAGGAACCUUUGUAGUCAGGUUGCACAAAGCACACAACGUUUUCAGCUGUGUCGUAACUUUUAAAUGUUAAGUCUGAGUUUAAUUUAAGUGAAUAAUGUUUUGAUCGGCUGUUGGAGAUAAUAAAGAAUAUGUUGCCAUCAGAUGAAACUUUACCUAUUGGCUUCUAUAUAAUGAAAAAAAAAAGGUAGCAAAACUUAGACUUAGAUAUAUCAAAAUUCAUAUUUGCAAAAAUAAUUGCAUCUUAUUUUAUGAGGAAAUUGUUGAUUUGGAGCAUUGUAUGAUAUGUGGGCAUCCUUGAUAUAAACUGAGGAAAUCAAGUGUGAAAAGGUACAAGAAAAUACUUUACAAAAUUUUACGUUAUUUGUCACUUAUACUAAAGCUUCAAAGGCUUUAUAUGUUAGGUAAAACUGCUGAACAUAUGACGUGGCAUGCGCAAAACCAAAGUCAUGAUGGAGUCCUUAGACACCUUGUUGAUGGUGAGGCUUUACAACGCUUCAAUCGCACACAUGAGUUAUUUGUAAUGGAACCUCAAAAUGUCAGACUAGGGUUAUGUGUUGACGGUUUUAAUCCUUUUGGACUAACUGCGAAACCUUAUUCUAUUUGGCCAGUAAUGCUCUAUGUGUGCAUUUUAACCCCAUUGAUAUGUAUGAAACAACAAUAUAUAUUUCUUAAUAUGAUCAUUCUGGGGAAGAAAAAUUUAAGCCAAAGCAUAG